AACACGACGCUGGUGGAUGCCUUUGCGCGAGCCAGACGCCGUGUUUUCGACCCGGACGAGGCCUCGAGGACCCAAGCCGCGCGAGUCGAUGUCGAUGCUGACCGAAUCGCACCCCCGUGUGUGGGGGCUACCCGCCGAGUUUAAGCAUAUAAAUAAGCGGAGGAGAAGAAACUUACGCAGGAUUCCUUUAGUAACGGCGAAGAAAUAACCGGAUCGCCCAGCUUUUGAGAAUCCCAAGGCCGCGGUCGUCCUGAAUUGUAGUCCGGAGAAGCCGCCCUCGCCGACGGAUCGCCCAAGUCCCCCCGGAAAGGGGCGCCGGGAGGGGAGAGCCCCGCCCGGCUCGGACCCGCCGCACCACCAGGCGCCGUCAACGAGUCGGUUGUUUGGGGAAUGCAGCCCCACCCGGUGGUAAAUUCGGCCUGCUAAAUAAAUAGAGACCGAUAUAACAAGUACCGCGAGGGAAAGAUGAAAAGGACUUUGAAAAGAGAGUCAAAGAGUGCUUGAAAUUGCCGGAGGGAAGCGGAUGGGGCCGGCGAUGCACCCUCGGCGGAUGCGAACGGUGGUCACCGGUCCGCCGCCGCCAAAAGCGGAUCGAUGCGCGGCUGCCGACGGUCCCAAGCCCGGACGGAUCGCUCGUCCGAGGGGAUACCGCCGACGCUGGUCGAGGAAACGACGCGCGCCAUCGGGCGCGUUCGCUGGGUACACGCGACACUGGCAUCGGCCACGGGUUCCAUCCCAACCCGCCUUGAAACACGGACCAAGGAGUCCGACAUGCGGCGUAGUCGAUGGGUGCGAAACCCGAAGGCACAAGGAAGCCGACCACGGGAACCCUCUCGGGUUUGCACCACCGCCCACCUCGAUCUUCUGGAAGGGUUCGAGUUGGAGCAUGCAUGUCGGGACCAAAGAUGGUGAACUAUGCCCGAAGCGAGGCGGCCGCAGGAAACUCGUGGAGGCCCGGGCGACAUCGACGGCAAAUCGCUCGGGUUCGACUUGGGUAUAGGGGCGAAGACUAAUCGAACCAUCUAGUAGUCGGUUCCUCCCAAGUUUCCCUCGAUAGCCGGAGCCCACACGAAGUUCUAUCGUAAAGCCAAUGAUUAGAGGCAUCGGGGCGAACGCCCUCGACCUAUUCUCAAACUUUAAAUAGGUAGGACGCGCGCCGCAUUGCUGAGAGCCGUCCGCCGAAUCGAGAGCCCGCGGGCCAUUUUUUUUGGUAAGCAGAAUCGGGCGAUGGGGAUGAACCGAAGUCGGGUUACGGUGCUCAAUCAAGGCUAACCCGCACACCACAAAGGGUGUUGGUCGAUUAAGACAAAGCAGGACGGUGGUCAUGGAAGUCGAAACCGCUAAGGAGUGUAACAACUCACCGCCAAUCAACUCAGCCCGAAAUGGAUGGCGCCAAGCGCGCAUCACUACCCGCCAUCGGGAAAGCCGCCAAGCCCCCGCGAGUAGGAGGGCGCGGGCGGUCGCCGCGAAAACCCAGGGCGAAAGCCCGGCGAGCGACUGGCCGGUGCAGAUCUUGGUGGUAGUAGCAAAUAUUCAAAUGAGAACUUUGAAGGUCAAGAGGGGAAAGGUUCCAUGUGAACGGCACUUGCACAUGGGUUAGCCGAUCCUAAGGGAUCGGGGAAGCCCGUCCGAGAGCUGCCUCCGCGAGUUCAAAGGGAAUCGUUAAAAUUCCCGAGCCGACGCCGGGCGGCGACGGCAACGUUAGGAAGUCCCGAGACGCCGGGGGGCCCCGGAAGAGUUAUCUUUUCUGCUUAACGCCCGCCCACCUCGGAAACGGCUCAGCCGGAGGUAGGGUCCAGCGGCCGGAAGAGCCGCACGCCGCGCGGGCGUCCCGGCAGCCUCGGGGGCCCUUUGAAAACCGGAGGACCGAAAAGUGCCGCCGCCCGGCCAGAUUUCAUAACCGCAUCGUUCUCCAAGGUGAACAGCCUCUCGCCCAUGGAACAAUGUAGGCAAGGGAAGUCGGCAAAACGGAUCCGAAUCUCGAAAAGGAUUGGUUCGAGGGUCGGGCACGGGGUCCCGCCUCAACCCGCUUGGCCGUCGGGCGGAUCGCUGAGUCGCUUUCGCGCAGAGAGGGGUCGCCGCCGCGUCGGCCGGGGACGGACGAAUGGCCCCCCUGGGCCUUCCCCGCCGCGCCAGUCGUAACCGGAACCGGUUGACAAGGGGAACUGAUCGCUUAAUUAAAACAAAGCAUUGCGAUGGUCUCGCGAUGCUCACGCGAAUGUGAUUUCUGCCUGCUCAAUGUCAAAGUGAAGAAAUUCAACCAAGCGCCGGUAAAACCAUGGAGUAACUAUGACUUCUUAAGGUAGCCAAAUGCCUCGCCAUCUAAUUAGUGACGCGAUGAAUGGAUUAACGAGAUUCCCAUCGCCCCGUUUACUAUCCAACAAACCACGCCCAAGGGAACCGGGUAAUGCAGAAUCGGGAAAGAAGACCUGUUGAGCUUGACUCUAGUCCCACUUUGUGAAAUGACUUGAGAGGUGUAGGAUAAGUGGGGAGCCGUCACGGCCGAAGUGAAAUACCACUACUUUUUAACGUUAUUUUACUUAUUCGCGAGUUUCGGAGGCGGGGCCGCCCCCUCCUUUUGACCCAAGGCCCGCCAAGGGCCGAUCCCAAGCGGAAGACAUUGUCGUGGGGAGUUUGGUGGGGCGCACAUCUGUUAAAAGAUAACGCAGUGUCCUAAGAUGAGCUCAACGAGAACGUAAAUCUCGGUGGAACAAAAGGGUAAAAGCUCGCUUUGAUUUCGAUUUCCAAAGACAAUAAUAACCGUGAAAGCGUGGCCUAUCGAUCCUUUAGACCUUCGAAUUUGAAGCUAGAGGUGUUUAAAAGUUACCACAGGAUAAUCGCUUGUGGCAGCCAAGCCGCUCAUAGCGACGCUGCUUUUUUUGAUCCUUCGAUGUCCGCUUCUUCCUAUCAUUGUGAAGCGCACCACCAAGUGUUGGAUUGUUCACCCACCAAUAGGGGAACGUGAGUCGGGUUUAGACCGUCGUGAGACAAAGUUAGUUUUACCUCAUCGAUGAUCGUGUCGCCGAUAGUAAUUCAACCUAGUACGAGAGGAACCGCUGAUUCACACAAUUGGUCAUCGCGCUGGUUGAAAAGCUGGCGCUGGUUACCGUAGGUGUCGGAUUAUGACCAACGCCUAAGUCAAUCCUAGUUAGCAACCGGCGCUUCGCCGCUGUUUCGCUUCCGACCCACAAGAGGGUUUUCGCCCCACGGGCUCGUGGUCGCCGGUAGCCCUGCGGUGGUACGCCACCCGUGGCCAUCGGAAGUACAUUCGCACGGACGACGGUCAACUUUUUGCGUGACGCACUUAAAUACGCUGGCGGGGUAUUGUGGGUAGAGUGGGUUUGCUGCCACCAUCCAUCGAGAUCCAGCCCCUGGC
rnacentral:rRNA from 1 species